AGAGUUUGAUCCUGGCUCAGGACGAACGCUGGCGGCGCGCCUAACACAUGCAAGUCGAACGAGAGAUGAGGAGCUUGCUCUUCAAAUCGAGUGGCGAACGGGUGAGUAACGCGUGAGGAACCUGCCUCAAAGAGGGGGACAACAGUUGGAAACGACUGCUAAUACCGCAUAAGCCCACGGCUCGGCAUCGAGCAGAGGGAAAAGGAGCGAUCCGCUUUGAGAUGGCCUCGCGUCCGAUUAGCUAGUUGGUGAGGUAACGGCCACAAGGCAACGAUCGGUAGCCGGACUGAGAGGUUGAACGGCCACAUUGGGACUGAGACACGGCCAGACUCCUACGGGAGCA
rnacentral:rRNA from 1 species